CUUGUAAACACAUAUCGAGCAACACUAAGCGAACGACGACUAACUCUGUACUGCAAAUAAUUUUAAAUACAUUUGACUAAACUAAGUAUCAACUCGUCUAGUCAUUAAUUAACAACACGUUUAAUCGUCCUCCACAUACAUGUUGUAUAAGCUACUAUGUGUAUAUUUAUUUAUGUUUCCCAUAGUACAGACGUAUUCCUUAUAUUAUUGUAGCUGUGUAAUUUCAGUAGUAUUGCAUAAAGGACAUCUGUUUUGUUGCAAUUGUAUCAGCUAUUAAUUGUAAUACUUGAAGCAUUUGUAUCUAAUCGUCAUGCAUCUGUGAUGGCACUCGACCAUGGAACUUUCCAACGGCUUCGCGACACAAAGCGCUAUACCUUCAAAGCGUAAGGCCGACAUGCCUAAUGUACCAUCGAUAUACCUACAGUUCUUUCGCCGAAUAUUCGGAAGAAUGCAUACGCGGCAACCGUUACGGGCAUCUAAUAAACGCGUGCGUAGUGGGGAUAUCGAGGGGCAACAAAAUAAAGAAUCCAUUUGGUUUCGAAUCAAAGAUUCAUUCUGCCCCGAGCUGCGGAGUGCGAAAGGUUAAGCGUCAUAGCGAAAGUAUUUCUUGUGGCCACCUUCACCCGCUAUCCACCUCACAUCGUUAUUCUACAUACGGAAGGCAAGAUUGACAUCGAGUUCGAAAGACAGACCGCAGAAGUCUGGUCUCUGCUAUUACCACGAGACCUUUCGAGACCGCGCAAGGAAGUGCCGGGCCCCUUGCAACUGGACCCAGUGAAACGAGACCAGCCGUCCGUAAACGCGGCAUGUGGCGAUGGCUUUAGUAUCCCGUCGGAUUUUCGUGACGGACAGGGCACCAAGGAUCUCUUUCCUCGUGAACACCGGUGUCAAUAUAAACGUAUACCCGUGCAACAAACUACGCGGAUCCGCGAACAAAGAUACGUACGAGCUGUUCGCGGCGAUUCGAGUGGUCGAAGCAAACCGAAAACGCCUUUUGCGAUUCGAAGCGCGUCCUCUCUGACGCCACAAUGUUAGUGUUACGACCGGCAUACUUCAAAUCCGAUGGACUGACGAUGGAGAUAAAGAUGUGGCGGCACUCGGCGACAAUGUAUAUCGCUGAAGUGUCUAAUGAACCAUCAACAUCCCAACGGUCCUUCCACCGAAGGGUCUAGAAGAAAGAGCACGUGGCAACGGCCGCGGACGCCUAGCAAAUGCAUUGACGGUGGGGAUGUUGAGGAAUGACAAAAGAAAGUAAUCGGAUCCGAUCGAAAAUCAAAUCAUAAGAGCUUCAGUCUUGGAAAGUCACGCCUAGAGUUCGGAAGUGGAUUGUUGUUAGAAAAAAAGUUUCUUUUUUUAUUUUUUACCUCAAAUUUCUUUUUUUAUUUUGUUAUUUUACGUGACAUUAGCGCAUCCGGUAUUGGCAACAGCGCGUGAACGACAAAUGGCAGCCGCUAGGAUUCGUUAUAAAAUCUUUGUCUCCCGCGCGAUUAAUUCUGUAUUUAGAAUAAUUUUAAAUAUAUUUGACAAUAUCAAGUAUCAACUCGUCACGUCAUUAUUUAAAUCAUCCACCACAAAUCCAAAAACGGAACAAGGAAAACAGAGAAAAGAACAAAUAGAAAAUUAAAUUGCUAACAUGUUUUUCUAUAAUAAUAUUUUAACAUCAAUAUUGUAAUACGCAAUGUGAAAAUGAAAAAAUUGGAAGCAACCGAACUACGAAUGAAACUGAAUCACUUCGCUGCUUGUAAAGAUAACUUUUAGUGUUAUAAACAUAAGUCAAGUAGCAAAUAGCAUACAUUGAAUUUACCCAAACUCUUCUUGGAAUCUGACAAAAUGAUUCUUUAUUUUGUCAAAAAAAUCUUUACGUAUGUUCCAUUCCCAUUCGUCGCUUUUUUCAGUGGCGUGUUUAUCGCUACGUCGAAACUCCGUCGGGUAGCAGAUAAUGUCAUUUGAAGUAGAAAACUAUUCAGAAACGUGUAUACGUUACACAGCAACAAACCAGUCGCCCUUUUAUUACCUCGUUCUCAACAGUUCAAAUUUCAGGGACGACCGACUACUUAGUAUCGACCCAGUACGUCAUAUUUACUCGCCAAAAGUAUUGUAAACGAAAAUUGUAACCAGACGUGCCGUUAGUAACCACCAUUUUUCGCGAAACUUCUUUUUCAUUUGGCGGAAAUUUAAACAAACCCCGAAACACGUGGCGUUUUGCAACUGUCUUUAAUCCUUUAAGAUAAAAAAGAUUGACGCAAAAUUUUGACGGGAUGAAAUUUCACGAUAUAUUCAGGUGAAACGAUGCGAAAUUAGAGCGAAGCUUAUAAUGGGAAUAUAGUUUGCUUGUCUGUUGUCAUAAAAUGAGAUAUGCAGAAUAUAUUAAAAAAUAUAGUAUAUGUAAUACGAAACUUUGUAUUAUUCAUGUUAUUAUGGACAAAAUAUCACAAUAUGUUCAUAUAUUUAAAUCUCAUCCGAAAAAGAUUAUUGUAUGUAGAACACAGUUUAACUGUAUUUUGAAUUCUUGUUUAUCAGAUCACAAUUGAUAAGUCGAUAUUAGGAUGAUUAUCAUCAUUUGAAACAAUUUUGUGACUGUUAUUUGUCAAUAUACUUUAUAUCUUAUGUACAUUUUAAAUAUGGUACGCAAAAUCGAAGUUGCAAGGAACAUUAAUAAAAAUUCAAUAUUUCAAUAACA